CGAACGGGUGAGUAAUGCGUGACCAACCUGCCCCAUGCUCCAGAAUAGCUCUUGGAAACGGGUGGUAAUGCUGGAUGCUCCAACUUGACGCAUGUCUUGUUGGGAAAGUGUUUAGUGGCAUGGGAUGGGGUCGCGUCCUAUCAGCUUGUAGGCGGGGUAAUGGUCCACCUAGGCUUCGACGGGUAGCCGGCCUGAGAGGGCGGACGGCCACAUUGGGACUGAGAUACGGCCCAGACUCCUACGGGAGGCAGCAGUA
rnacentral:rRNA from 1 species